CACAGGUGGGAUUGCGUUUUAAUUAUUGAAUAGGCAUUAAGAGUGAUUAGGUGGCAUAAAGCUAGAGUCAAAAGAGGAAAGUUAGAAGGAAUAACCAAAGGAAGGAUGAAAUCUAUAGAUGUUGGUUGGAACAUCAAGGCGACAGCAUCACUUUAUUUUUUGUACUGAACACUGAAUCACUAAAGUGUGGGAGCGAACUGGAGUUAGAUAACCCGGUGUAGUCCGA
rnacentral:rRNA from 1 species